AUUGAACGCUGGCGGCAUGCCUUACACAUGCAAGUCGAACGGCAGCACGGACUUCGGUCUGGUGGCGAGUGGCGAACGGGUGAGUAAUGUAUCGGAACGUACCUUUCAGUGGGGGAUAACGUAGCGAAAGUUACGCUAAUACCGCAUAUUCUGUGCGCAGGAAAGCAGGGGAUCGCAAGACCUUGCGCUGACUGAGCGGCCGAUGUCAGAUUAGCUAGUUGGGGAGGUAAAGGCUCACCAAGGCGACGAUCUGUAGCGGGUCUGAGAGGAUGAUCCGCCACACUGGAACUGAGACACGGUCCAGACUCCUACGGGAGGCAGCAGUGGGGAAUUUUGGACAAUGGGGGCAACCCUGAUCCAGCCAUGCCGCGUGAGUGAAGAAGGCCUUCGGGUUGUAAAGCUCUUUCGGCCGGGAAGAAAUCGCACGGGCUAAUACCCUGUGUGGAUGACGGUACCGGAAUAAGAAGCACCGGCUAACUACGUGCCAGCCGCCGCGGUAAUAC
rnacentral:rRNA from 1 species